UUGUGUGUGGUUAUUUGGAUUACUCAUGUGCUCUUGCUAACAGUCGCUAGCCUGGAGGCUGCCCGGAUAUGGAAAUCGCAACCUGGAUUUGUGUGUGAGGGGCUCUUGCCUCUUGGAUUCGUGCUAACCUAACCUCUGAAAUUAUGCCAUCAUUCUAAGUGACAGUUCAUCAUCAAGUAGCUGAGAUUCGUGGGAUUCGAGGAGCCUGCAGAGCAUGUCGAGGCGUAAACAGAAUUGUCCAAAACGCAUGAAAUGUAAGUUGAAUGUUCUUGAACCCAAGUGUUGCCAGCUUUUGCUCCAACGGUGGUGCGUACAAGAUUUAAUAUUUUAACUUCGUUCUUCUCUCUCUAGGAUAUGUCUCUUGUACUGACAAUCAAUCCCAAAUGCUACUGAGCGUGACUUGGAAACGUGCACAAAAAAUUUCGUAGAAAAAUACUGCACAGAAAUCGAUGUUUAAUCAAGUGUAUUUUAUACAUUUCACAGUGUAUAGUGUAUAUGUCGAAGGCAAAUAGUCAAAUCAGGAAUUUCGUCAAAUAGUUAGGCAAAUAGUCGGAUAGUUCUUAUUUAGAUUGAAAUUGUCAUUAUUUUCCUAUUUUGUAAAAAAUAAUUCUUUGCUCCUGUAAGAAAGAAUUCUCUGUAAAUAUGCAGCAUACAGUAGUAUUUUAAACGAUUUUUAGUUCCUGAACGCACAUUUAUCUUGUAAUUUUCAGCACUUCAAAAACAUAGAAUUUUAAAAUUGUAGCAUUUAAAUGUACGAGUGGCAUUUGAAAAGGAAGGUACAAGGAGAGUUCGCGGAUUUGAAGAGUUAUUCUUCACAAAAUAUUGAGAACCCAUGAACUAACCCGCCAUAAAUUUACAGAAUUCCGUCGUCCGUCAAAAGAGUACCGGCCUAUAGGCAUUCGAUAAAAUUCCGGAUUUGACUCAUUGCCUCAGACUUCUAUGUAUGGUUGAUUUAAUACAUUUCAUCACUCAUCAUAGUCAAGGCGUUUUGUUUUAAAUUUUCUUUUUCCUUUUUUUCUGCUCUUUCUCUAGGUAUCAGUGCCGCAAAGCGAUGUAAAAUAAUUCAUAGCGACCAGAACGAAGCAAUGAAAGGUAGAACUGAACAUUGCGGAAGUUAUCUGCGUUUUUGCGCAAAGCUCAAAACUUCGCAAGAAUAAAUAUGUUGCCUAAAGGGUU
rnacentral:lncRNA from 1 species